rnacentral:tRNA from 1 species
GGCAUCGUAGCUCCGCUGGUAGAGUAUUCGUGGUAAUAAAGCGAGGGUGGUGACCGCGCUCGGGUUCGAGUCCCGCCGAGGCCA